CACUACCAUUUUAUAUAUCGGUUGAUUUUAACAUAGACUCAAGGUUUGAGAUUUCAAGUAUCCGUUUUAUAUCGGUAAAAAGUGGUAUUUGUUCAUCCCUAAUUGUAAGACAUUUGAAAUCAUUUGCAUCAUGACACUGUUGCACAUUUGUCAAAAUCAUCUAAAUUUAUGUAAUCUCUUUGAUUUGAUCCAAAGCUAAAUAUUUAGCUAUGAAUAAUAAUAAGUUAUUUAGCGAUGUUUUGAACUUAUUUGCUAUGUAUUUGGUGGUGCUUAGUUCUGCAAGACCCUUACCUAACCCAUUGUUAACUUCACUUCACUAGAAACAAUGG